CCCAGGUCAAGGAGGCAGUGUCAGUCUGGGCUGGCGGGCCACGGAGCUGUAUACUCCUGAGGGAGCCUCAUCUCGGCACGUGCCAGUCACGUGCUCGCCAGCCUGCAAGCCAUUAUGGCCCUAGAAGAAUGUUUCAUUAGAUAUCGUUGCGAAGGUUAUGUGCGACAUGUCAAGCUGUGGUCAAAGCAACAAAAAGUAAUUUAUAUUGUGCGCGAUACACUUACCGUUGGCUUAACACUUGCGGUGCUGUGUGAAGUUUAAACAUCGUCUUGGUACGGGCUACAGCAGCACACUGUGUGGUACACAUCUACCCUCCAGGUGUCUUCUUGCGGUCGUCAGGAGGAGGAAGAGUCCAGAGGUGACGAGGCCACCAGUAAGGUACGUCGACGACAUUGAUGCAGGUACCUGACGUCGUACCUGCAUCUCGGUACGACGUCGGAACUCUUCAACGUUUGCAGCAGUUGAAGGUGG